GACGAACGCUGGCGGCGUGCCUAAUACAUGCAAGUAGAACGCUGAAGGAGGAGCUUGCUUCUCUGGAUGAGUUGCGAACGGGUGAGUAACGCGUAGGUAACCUGCCUGGUAGCGGGGGAUAACUAUUGGAAACGAUAGCUAAUACCGCAUAAGAGUAGAUGUUGCAUGACAUUUACUUAAAAGGUGCAAUUGCAUCACUACCAGAUGGACCUGCGUUGUAUUAGCUAGUUGGUGAGGUAACGGCUCACCAAGGCAACGAUACAUAGCCGACCUGAGAGGGGGAUCGGCCACCCUGGGACGGAGACCGGCCACAGAGUCAUACGGGAGGCAGCAGUAGGGAAUCUUCGGCAAUGGACGGAAGUCUGACCGAGCAACGCCGCGUGAGUGAAGAAGGUUUUCGGAUCGUAAAGCUCUGUUGUAAGAGAAGAACGAGUGUGAGAGUGGAAAGUUCACACUGUGACGGUAUCUUACCAGAAAGGGACGGCUAACUACGUG
rnacentral:rRNA from 1 species